UACGAAGGGGGCUAGCGUUGUUCGGAUUUACUGGGCGUAAAGCGCACGUAGGCGGAUCGUUAAGUCAGGGGUGAAAUCCUGGAGCUCAACUCCAGAACUGCCUUUGAUACUGGCGAUCUCGAGUCCGGAAGAGGUGAGUGGAACUCCUAGUGUAGAGGUGGAAUUCGUAGAUAUCAGGAAGAACACCCGUGGCGAAGGCGGCUCUCUGGGACGGUACUGACGCUGAGACGCGAAAGCGUGGGGAGCGAACAGG
rnacentral:rRNA from 1 species